rnacentral:lncRNA from 1 species
AGUGAUGGAGCCUACUCUUAACCAUUAGGGUAUGGUACCUCUUAAUUAAAUCUUGCUCCCCCAGUGACUGGAAUCUUCUUUUCUUUGUUUUCUUAUACUUGGUUGGUUCAUCUUUCUAACUGUAUCAUCUUAUCAGGCACAAGAUUUGUGAGUGGUUAGAACAUAGGGUGGCCCAACAAUGGAGUGGUCAAAAGACAGGAGGAAGUGUUGGAUGUUUAAUUUUUAACAUCUCAGAGUAUAGUUUGGAAAGCUCUUUAAAUAGAAAAAUUAGAUCCUUGUAUGUGUCUGUUUCUUAAGGACACGAGAAGAGUUUCUCAAUUCGCAAAAAAUUAAAAACUACAAAGGAAAGAGAAUAGAGAAGUCUGACUGUAAUCAGACUUAAAGCUUCUGUAUCACGGGAUAACGUGAACAAAGUGAAAAAACAAGCCACAAUGAAAAUAUUUGCAACCCUAUAACCAUCAAAGGACUAAGAUCUAAAUUAUAUACAUGUAUGUACAUGAGAUCACAGGUGCUGUCACCGGUCCUAAGAACUCACUGAUGUGGCAGUACAUGAGACAUAAGUUAAAAAUCUUCCAGUAUUGUGAAUUUGCCCAUUUUUAUAUGUAAUUAUGUAAAUUUUUGCUGUAUAUGUUUUGAGGCCAUGUUACAUGUAUGUCUACAAGGGCAGAAUUGUUGUAUUUUUCUGGUGAAUUUUUUUUAUCAUUAUAUAAUGACUUCUCAAUUAUGCAUUUUGAGUAAAAAUCUGAUGUAACUAGAACCACGUUAGCUUUCUUUUUAUUAAUAGUUGAUGUCUUUCAGCCUUUUACUUCCUGCUUUUCUUUGUUUUUAUUUCAAAUGUAACACAAAGCCUGUUUUUUUCCCUUUAGCGUAAGUAUUGUCUAUUAUAAACCUCAAAUAGCUACAUUUUGGGUUCUUUUGUAUAAAAUCUUUUACCAGCCAAGUUUAGUCUAUUUGCAUUUAUGGUAAUUACUCAUAAAUUUGGAUUCAUUCAUUAUUAUUUUAAUGCUUUCCAUUUAUUAUGCUUUUUCUUUGCUUAUUUGUCCCAACCCUCUAGUCCUGAGUUUGUUAAUACUGCUCUUGUAUUCUUUAUUCUGUUUUUCUCCCUUCCUCUAUUGGUUUGGAAAUUACACAUUCUCUUUCUUCCUUUAGUGUACCCUUUCUAUCCUUUAGUGGUACCUAUGUAUUUUGACAUACAUAAAUAAAGUCUAAGUUAAUAAUAUCUGUACCCUCUUUUUAAUGCUUUAAUUGUAACACUUUAGAGUACCUUAAUGUAGAUGUCUCCUCUGCCUUACAUGUCCUUAUUGUACAGCAUUUUAGCUCCACUUUGUUUUUGUACCCCAAAUGAUUAUGACUACUAUAAUAACUAUUAUUACUACUAUUUAUAUAGCUAAAGUUUAUUUAGAUUUAUCCAUGUAUUUACCAUUUGCUUUGCUUAUCAUUGCUGCUUGCACUCCUGCCCUCUGGGUUCAGUUUCUUUUUAUCAAAAAACAUGAUUUAUCUUCAUGUAACCCUCACGUUUAGGAAUGAGAGCACUGUCAUGUGAGGUCACAGUUGCAGAGCUGGCAGUGUUGUCUCACCUUCAAGUCUCUUGUCCUUGUGUAGAGUUGCUGUUCUUCCUAAAACACUGUGUCUUCCAUGUAUACAAAUGGGAAUUUAGUAAAUAUAAUACAAAUACAAAUGGGAAUUUAGUAACUAUAAGGUGUCAUUUCACAUCAGUGGGGGAAAGUAAAUGUUGCUGUAACAAGUGAUGAGCUAAACGGGAAAAAUACAGCUGGACCUCACUAUAUUGUAUUCAAAUCCUGGCUCUGACCGUGUUUACCUGUCCAGGUCUCAUGAUUCUUAUCUGAAAAUGAAAUUGAUAGUUUCUGAGAAGAUUAAAUGAGAAUAAUACAUGCAAAGUGCUUACCCCAGUGAAUGAGACAUAAGAAUCAUUUACUAGAUGGUAGUUAUAGAUUUUUUUCUUGCUUAUUUUCUCUUCUUAAUCUGUACAUAAGUUUAGUAUGAUUAGACUAUCUCAAGUCUGUUAUGUGGCUAGGACAGUCACUUAAUUGGCUUGACUAUAAGCUUAGCUUGAGGAGCAAAAGUAUAGGUGCUAAAUUCAUGUUGAGAUAAUAGAAUACCAAGCAUUACAAUUAAAAGGAAUGUUGAGUGGUUUUUUUUGUUUUUUUGUUUUUUUUUAUAAUGGACUCUGGAGUUAAUGAUGUAGGUUAUUUGCCAAGUACUGUAUGUUGAAUGUAUUACAGAAAAAUGUCACCUUGGUACCUUCUUGAGAGAUAUCAAAGCAAGUCCAAUAUCCGUUCUUCCCCAUCACUCUACAGUGUAUCUAGUAAUAAUUAUUUGUCUUAAUCAUAAGGACAAAUAAUGAAAAUUAUAUUUCAAAUUUCUAAGCUUUCGUGGUUAAAAAAGCUUCUAGAAACUAUUGUUUCUCCUCCCAUGCAGUUAUAAUAUGCUUAACUUUCUUUAAGAUGGGUGUUUGGUAGUAUCAUUUACAAUAUAUUUAUUUUUGUUUUUUAAGCAUGUUUUUAUAUUUGUUUAAGGUGGAUAGGCAUGUAGACCUGCUAGAAGUUGCCCAGGAAACUGAUGGGUUUUCAGGAAGUGACCUAAAAGAGAUGUGUCGAGAUGCUGCCCUCCUCUGUGUUAGAGAAUAUGUUAAUUCUACAUCAGAAGAAAGGUAUGUUAUUUUGACUUGAUUUUUAACACUUGUCAAAACCUUUUAGAGCUUUUAGGUUAGUUUCUUUUAUUUUGCUUUAUAUUAGAAACACCGCUUAUGAAAUAAAAGGUAAAUUUGGAUUAUCACCCCCUGCAACUUUAUUUAUUGCCAUUUUUCCAAAGCAGAAUUCUGAAAAUGAAGGAGGGCAGAAUUGUGGGAAGGGUCUAGAAUGAAGGAGAAAAAAGGUGAAUUUCUUCUGAUGAUCCGUGGAAAUUUCACAUGUAAAUGUGAGGGGAAAUUUCCCAUGAAAUGUGGAAAUUUCCCAUGUAAAUUGGAGAUAUUGAAGACUAGACCUCAAUUUGUUAACAAAAAUGUAUUUACUGAACAAAGAAACCAUUUAUCACUGCAGCAAUUUUACUUGGAACCAGUUCCAAAGUAUAGUGAAGUUGAGAAUCCAAUUUUUUUAACAGCCUUAUUUCAGCAAAGAUACUAAUGAACUGGAAUAGUUCAGCCCUGGUGAACCAUGUCCUAAAGGAAGUUUCCUAAAAUGCCACUUGCCUGGAACCAGUAUUAUACUGCAUUUCUUUUCAGAAUAUCA